rnacentral:misc_RNA from 1 species
AUGUGUUUCGGAGCCUGGCACACCCAUCUCUGCUUGGGAUGGGUGUGGCAGCGCCCCCACACGUGUUUACUGAACUUUGUUGCCUUGGUAGGCCUGCCAUUUUGGCUGCCAGGGGCGCCUUACCGUGCCCUCGGCGUGUGCCUACCAGUGGAGCAGUUGAACUCAAGAGAAGAUUGAAUGUCUGAGCAUUUAUGCAAAUCAUACA